rfam:Cavia porcellus supercont2_8 genomic scaffold, whole genome shotgun sequence.
AGCUAUACACUCUGAAUGCACCUGAUCUCGUCUGCUCUCAGAAGCUAAGCAGGGCUGGGCCUGGUUAGUACUUGGAUAGGAAAAAAAAGAGGAAUCAAAAUUU